rnacentral:rRNA from 1 species
UACGUAGGGUGCAAGCGUUAAUCGGAAUUACUGGGCGUAAAGCGUGCGCAGGCGGUUUUGUAAGUCAGACUGUGAAAUCCCCGGGCUUAACCUGGGAACUGCGUUUGAAACUACAAGGCUAGAGUGUGGCAGAGGGGGGUAGAAUUCCACGUGUAGCAGUGAAAUGCGUAGAGAUGUGGAGGAACACCGAUGGCGAAGGCAGCCCCCUGGGUUAACACUGACGCUCAGGCACGAAAGCGUGGGGAGCAAACAGG